rnacentral:rRNA from 1 species
AGAGUUUGAUCCUGGCUCAGAUUGAACGCUGGCGGUAGGCUUAACACAUGCAAGUCGAGCGAGAAAGUAUCUUCGGAUAUGAGUAGAGCGGCGGACGGGUGAGUAACGCGUAGGAAUCUACCUAGUAGAAGGGGAUAGCCCGGGGAAACUCGGAUUAAUACCGUAUACCUCCUAAGGGAGAAAGAGGGCCUCUCUUGAUGCUCUCGCUAUUAGAUGAGCCUGCGUAAGAUUAGCUUGUUGGUGAGGUAAUGGCUUACCAAGGCUACGAUCUUUAGCUGGUCUGAGAGGACGAUCAGCCACAUUGGGACUGAGACACGGCCCAGACUCCUACGGGAGGCAGCAGUGGGGAAUAUUGGACAAUGGGCGCAAGCCUGAUCCAGCCAUACCGCGUGUGUGAAGAAGGCCUUCGGGUUGUAAAGCACUUUAAGCAGGGAGAAAAAGUUAUAAGUUAAUACCUUAUAACCGUGAUGUUACCUGCAGAAUAAGCACCGGCUAAUUCCGUGCCAGCAGCCGCGGUAAUACGGAAGGUGCAAGCGUUAAUCGGAAUUACUGGGCGUAAAGCGCGCGUAGGUGGUUUGUUAAGUUGGAUGUGAAAGCCCUGGGCUCAACCUAGGAACUGCAUCCAAAACUAACUCACUAGAGUACGAUAGAGGGAGGUAGAAUUCAUAGUGUAGCGGUGGAAUGCGUAGAUAGUAUGAAGAAUACCAGUGGCGAACGCGGCCUCCUGGAUCUGUACUGACACUGAGGUGCGAAA